AUACUUACCUGGCAGGGGAGAUACCAUGAUCACGAAGGUGGUUUUCCCAGGGCGAGGCUUAUCCAUUGCACUCCGGAUGUGCUGACCCCUGCAAUUUCCCCAAAUGUGGGAAACUCGACUGCAUAAUUUGUGGUAGUGGGGGACUGCGUUCAAGCUCUCCCCUG
rnacentral:snRNA from 1 species